AGUGAACGCUGGCGGUAGGCCUAACACAUGCAAGUCGAACGGCAGCACAGUAAGAGCUUGCUCUUACGGGUGGCGAGUGGCGGACGGGUGAGGAAUACAUCGGAAUCUACUUUUUCGUGGGGGAUAACGUAGGGAAACUUACGCUAAUACCGCAUACGACCUACGGGUGAAAGCAGGGGAUCUUCGGACCUUGCGCGAUUGAAUGAGCCGAUGGCGGAUUAGCUAGUUGGGGGGGUAAAGGCCCACCAAGGCGACGAUCCGUAGCUGGUCUGAGAGGAUGAUCAGCCACCCUGGAACUGAGACACGGUCCAGACUCCUACGGGAGGCAGCAGUGGGGAAUAUUGGACAAUGGGCGCAAGCCUGAUCCAGCCAUACCGCGUGGGUGAAGAAGGCCUUCGGGUUGUAAAGCCCUUUUGUUGGGAAAGAAAAGCAGCAGGUUAAUACCCCGCUGUUCUGACGGUACCCAAAGAAUAAGCACCGGCUAACUUCGUG
rnacentral:rRNA from 1 species